rnacentral:misc_RNA from 1 species
CAACCCUCAAGCUCUGCUUGGUAUUGGGCUCCGUCUACUGCUGACGGGCCUUAAAAUCAGUGGCGGUGCCAUUAGGCUCUAAGCGUAGUAAUUUUUCUCGCUAUGGACGUCUCCUGGAUACUUGCCAGCAACCCCAAAUUUUAAA